rnacentral:rRNA from 3 species
CUCGGGUGAAGGAACUAGGCAAAAUGGUGCCGUAACUUCGGGAGAAGGCACGCUGACACGUAGGUGAAGUGGUUUACCCAUGGAGCUGAAGUCAGUCGAAGAUACCAGCUGGCUGCAACUGUUUAUUAAAAACACAGCACUGUGCAAACACGAAAGUGGACGUAUACGGUGUGACGCCUGCCCGGUGCCGGAAGGUUAAUUGAUGGGGUCAGCGCAAGCGAAGCUCCUGAUCGAAGCCCCGGUAAACGGCGGCCGUAACUAUAACGGUCCUAAGGUAGCGAAAUUCCUUGUCGGGUAAGUUCCGACCUGCACGAAUGGCGUAAUGAUGGCCAGGCUGUCUCCACCCGGGACUCAGUGAAAUUGAACUCGCUGUGAAGAUGCAGUGUACCCGCGGCAAGACGGAAAGACCCCGUGAACCUUUACUAUAGCUUGACACUGAACACUGGUCCUUGAUGUGCAGGAUAGGUGGGAGGCUUUGAAGUGUGGACGCCAGUCUGCAUGGAGCCAUCCUUGAAAUACCACCCUUUAAUGGCUGGUGUUCUAACGUGGGCCCGUGAACCGGGUUGCGGACAGUGUCUGGUGGGUAGUUUGACUGGGGCGGUCUCCUCCUAAAGAGUAACGGAGGAGCACGAAGGUUGGCUAAUCCUGGUCGGACAUCAGGAGGUUAGUGCAAUGGCAUAAGCCAGCUUGACUGCGAGCGUGACGGCGCGAGCAGGUGCGAAAGCAGGUCAUAGUGAUCCGGUGGUUCUGAAUGGAAGGGCCAUCGCUCAACGGAUAAAAGGUACUCCGGGGAUAACAGGCUGAUACCGCCCAAGAGUUCAUAUCGACGGCGGUGUUUGGCACCUCGAUGUCGGCUCAUCACAUCCUGGGGCUGAAGUAGGUCCCAAGGGUAUGGCUGUUCGCCAUUUAAAGUGGUACGCGAGCUGGGUUUAGAACGUCGUGAGACAGUUCGGUCCCUAUCUGCCGUGGGCGCUGGAAGAUUGAGGGGGGCUGCUCCUAGUACGAGAGGACCGGAGUGGACGCAUCACUGGUGUUCGGGUUGUCAUGCCAAUGGCACUGCCCGGUAGCUACAUGCGGAAGAGAUAAGUGCUGAAAGCAUCUAAGCACGAAACUUGCCCCGAGAUGAAUCUUCCCUGAGCCUUUAAGGCUCCUGAAGGAACGUUGAAGACGACGACGUUGAUAGGCCGGGUGUGUAAGCGCAGCGAUGCGUUGAGCUAACCGGUACUAAUGAACCGUGAGGCUUAACCUUACA